rnacentral:rRNA from 1 species
UCCAAGCGUUAUCCGGAAUCAUUGGGUUUAAAGGGUCCGUAGCGGUUUAAUAAGUCAGUGGUGAAAUCUGGUCGCUCAACGAUCAAACGGCCAUUGAUACUGUUAGACUUGAAUUAUUUAGGAAGUAACUAGAAUAUGUAGUGUAGCGGUGAAAUGCUUAGAUAUUACAUGGAAUACCAAUUGCGAAGGCAGGUUACUACUAGUGGAUUGACGUCUGAUGGACGAAAGCGUGGGGAGCGAACAGGAUUAGAUACCCUGGUAGUCCACGCCGUAAACGAUGGAUACUAGCUGUUGGGGGCAACUUCAGUGGCUAAGCGAAAGUGAUAAGUAUCCCACCUGGGGAGUACGUUCGCAAGAAUG